CACCGCGCCGAACGGUUCCUUCGAUCUCUGUCCUCAGCUGAGCUCCCCUGUCUGGCCUCGCUUCACCUCCGAUCGUGCGGGACGACGGACGCGAUCGGACUCCUAGGCAGUGAUGCGCAAGGCGACGAGAUGUGGAUCCUUGCGCACGGAGAACUCAUCCGCCGUCAGCAAGCCUCCGCCAGGCACAUCCUCUAUCAACAUCUGAUUCGUCCACUAGCGGCCAUUUUCUUUCUAUGUGAGAGCCGAAGUUGGUGCCAACCAACAUGGAGGAGACACACUACCGAGAGAAUGCAUUUGAACGAGGGAGAUGCUAAAUUGCUAAUGAUGAGCAACAUUCGUUUAGUCAUAUGCAUUUCCUAGAAGUGUAAUUGGAUCUCUAAGUUGAUCUACCCGAUCUGAUCCAGAGGAGAAUGCCUAAUAAAUAUUGACAGUCAGCAGCCACCAGACCAACCAUAUUACGUGAUUUACGGUGGGCAUCUGGAUAUUUUCUGUAAUACUACUUAUUGAUCUUAUAAUAUUUUUCAUUAGAGAGUGUUUUUCAUUAAUGUGUUUCCACAGAUUAUGUUCCAGUUAUUUUGGUGGCUUGAAUAAGCAGUUUAUCUGCUAUGCUUGUAUUAUCUCUGUAGGAUUUCCAUCGGGAGCAAAAUUAAAUUAUUCUUUAUGUAGGUAAAAUAGUUUAUUCUUGCGAACACCUGAGUGUUCCCAUCAGUAGGUUAACUUCAUAGAGCCAUUGAGGCUAGGGGCAGAGCCAUCUUAUUCUGCAUCAAGUAAGACACUUCCUGUUGGCGUCUAAUGAAAGUUGUAAUGUUCGGUAGGUUGGUUGUUUGCCUGAAACUGGAAUGCUUUCCUAUUUUGUAAUUAUUGGGUCAUAUGGUUCGGCCACGGUGGCCGAUAAAGGAAAAAAGUGUUUCGUACUCCCAGAUAUUGUGUUGACUGUAGAAUGUAGUUGCGUCUAGCAAUGGCUUUCUAAAAUGUGAUCUCAAGUACCAUCCUUAGGUCUAGAGGCUGCAUCACACCUGCCUGAUAAUGAUCUGUUACAGGAAUCUACUGUUUCAGACUUAUGUUUUUCGGAUUUGUGGUUGAUGAUUUUUAUUUGAACCAAUGCAGCUAUACCGUUAGGCAUACCAGUUUCAUUUAGUCAGUUACAUGAUAUACAUCUUUUUUGUGCAUGUAAGCAGGAAAAGGGGCCUGUCAAUCCAAUUAGAAAUCAGCAAGGUCAAACGUUGCUUCUUAUAGUUGUGUAUUACUUCGGUUUUGAUUUACUAAUUGUUGUUUUAUACUUAUUUACUGAUGAUUUGUAAUUGCUUCCUCUGAAAACUGCUACUAUGCAUCGAGGAUGGGACUGUUACUGUCGAUUUUGUCGGCACGGAUGUUCAGCUCGCUGAUAUCUUCACCAAAGCUCUGGGGCAAGUCAGGUUUCAGAAGAUUUGCGAAACGUCGAGAUCAAGGGCAGCAGAAGGAGAAGGGUGAUAUGGAUUACAAAUAACAAUGCUCGACAGAAGAAGGGAAGGGAGACAUGCAGGUGAGAAGAGGUUGCCACGACGAGUUGAUAAGUCAUGCAACAAGUGGAAAGCGCGGUCAAAACAGUGUGUGUGGUAAUACUAUAAUGAGUUCUUUAGGUCAUGCAUUGCGUUGAGAUAUGUUGUGGAACCAUUGCCAUAUUGAUCUUCAAGAGCCUCUUAGACAGCGAUAGUCCAAGCUGAUCUUCAUCUUUCUAUUAUAGACUUUUUUUGUGAGAAACUCUGCACUUUGAGGUCCUUCACCUCAACAUGUCAUUAUCUGUAUAAUAUAAUAUUGUACAAUACCACAUUACCGAUUUCACUAUAAGAAGAGGUUUCGAUUA